rnacentral:misc_RNA from 1 species
UUGGCAACCCUGCAUUAUAGAACCUGCCAGACCCACCAAAAUUCACAAUAUAUUACACAUACUCUUCACUAAUUCUUCUAUUAGGAAUGAACACUUUCAUCAAAUGAUCACCACCACAUGCAAUAUCAUAAACUCUUUUCUUCAAAGCCAUCUGAAUUAUGUAGCAAGCAUGACAGGGCCAAUUAAAUUCAUUCGAGUUAAAAGUAGAAUUCAGACUUAUAAUAAACAAUAAGAAUAGAAAUAGAAUCAAAUUAAACAAAAUAAGCACAUGCCGGUGAGAAAAAAGCAGAAAAACACAGAAAAUUGGUUAGAGAGAUAAAUAGUGUUCGUACCAGUCAUUGCCCUCUUUAAGAA